GGGCCUAUAGCUCAGUUGGUUAGAGCGCUGUCCUGAUAAGACAGAGGUCGCUGGUUCAAGUCCAGCUAGGCCCA
rnacentral:tRNA from 1 species